GACGAACGCUGGCGGCGUGCUUAACACAUGCAAGUCGAACGAAAAGAGGGAAAGAGCUUGCUCUUUCCGGAAUUGAGUGGCAAACGGGUGAGUAACACGUAAACAACCUGCCUUCAGGAUGGGGACAACAGACGGAAACGACUGCUAAUACCGAAUAAGUUCCAAGGGCCGCAUGGCCCAUGGAAGAAAAGGUGGCCUCUACCUGUAAGCUAUCGCCUGAAGAGGGGUUUGCGUCUGAUUAGCUGGUUGAAGGGGUAACGGCCCACCAAGGCGACGAUCAGUAGCAGGUCUGAGAGGAUGAACGGCCACACUGGAAUUGAGACACGGUCCAGACUCCUACGGGAGGCAGCAGUGGGGAAUCUUCUGCAAUGGGCGAAAGCCUGACGGAGCAACGCCGCGUGAGUGAUGACGGCCUUCGGGUUGUAAAACUCUGUGAUCCGGGACGAAAAGGCAGAGUGCGAAGAACAAACUGCAUUGACGGUACCGGAAAAGCAAGCCACGGCUAACUACGUG
rnacentral:rRNA from 1 species